rnacentral:rRNA from 1 species
UACAGAGGGUGCGAGCGUUAAUCGGAAUUACUGGGCGUAAAGCGCACGUAGGCGGCUUGGUAUGUCGGGUGUGAAAUCCCCGGGCUCAACCUGGGAACUGCAUCCGAAACUGCCUUGCUAGAGUAUGGGAGAGGGUAGUGGAAUUCCCGGUGUAGUGGUGAAAUGCGUAGAUAUCGGGAGGAACACCAGUGGCGAAGGCGACUACCUGGCCUGUUCUUGACGCUGAGGCGCGAAAGCUAGGGGAGCAAAUGGG